AAAGUGAAACAAUAUCUAUGAGCUACACAAUACAACAAAUAUUCCAGCAACAAAAACACAUGCAAGCUCUAAUCGAGAGUGAGAACAGGGUUACCAUACUUCUACGCUACCGGAGAAGAAACGGCUUUCAAAAAAAAUGUAGAGAAAACCCUAGCUUCGUUCAUAGAAAACCCUAGCUUUCAGAGAAGCCGGCGGAAUCAGGCACA
rnacentral:lncRNA from 1 species